rnacentral:rRNA from 1 species
GCCGAAGAAGGACGUGGUAAGCUGCGAAAAGCUACGGGAAGCUGCAAGCAAGCAUUGAUCCGUAGAUGUCCGAAUGGGGAAACCCGGCUGUUUUAAUAGACAGUCAUCCUUAACUGAAUACAUAGGUUAAGGAAGGUAUACGUGGGGAACUGAAACAUCUAAGUACCCACAGGAAGAGAAAGAAACAUCGAUUUCCUAAGUAGCGGCGAGCGAACGGGAAAGAGCCCAAACCAACGACUACGGUUGUUGGGGUUGUGGAUAGGAACACAAGCGAUGGAGGUAUCUUAGUCGAAGAGGUCUGGAAAGGCCCACCAUAGACGGUGACAGUCCGGUAGACGAAAAGAGAAGACCCGCGUUCCUACUCCAGAGUACCACGGAGCACGUGAAACUUUGUGGGAAGCUGGGAGGACCAUCUCCCAAGGCUAAAUACUUCCUGGUGACCGAUAGUGAAUAGUACCGUGAGGGAAAGGUGAAAAGAACCCCGGAAGGGGAGUGAAAUAGAACCUGAAACCCUAUGUUUACAAGCAAUGGAAGCACUUUAUACGUGCGACCAUGUACUUUUUGUAGAACGGGCCAACGAGUUACGUUAUGCAGCAAGGUUAAGGUGUUCAGCACUGGAGCCGUAGGGAAACCGAGUCUGAAUAGGGCGAAAGAGUUGUAUGGCGUAGACCCGAAACCGGGUGACCUAUCCAUGAGCAGGUUGAAGCUGAAGUAAAAUUUAGUGGAGGACCGAACCCAUGUCUGUUGAAAAAGGCUGGGAUGACUUGUGGAUAGCGGAGAAAUUCCAAUCGAACCCGGAGAUAGCUGGUUCUCCCCGAAAUAGCUUUAGGGCUAGCCUUGAAUGAUGAGUAACGGAGGUAGAGCACUGACUACCCUAGGGCCUUUCACCGGGUACCGAAGGUUAUCAAACUCCGAAUGCCGUAUACUUUAGUUCAGGAGUCAGACUGUGUAUGAUAAGAUUCAUAGUCGAGAGGGAAACAGCCCAGACCAUCAGCUAAGGUCCCAAGUAUAGAUUAAGUGGGAAAGGAUGUGGGGUUGCACAGACAACUAGGAUGUUGGCUUAGAAGCAGCCAUUCAUUUAAAGAGUGCGUAAUAGCUCACUAGUCGAGUGACCCUGCGCCGAAAAUUACCGGGCUAAAAUCUAUCACCGAAGCUAUGGCAUUAUACUUAUGUAUAAUGGGUAGGGGAGCAUUGUGUACGGGCUGAAGCUACACCGUGAGGAGUGGUGGACUGUACAGAAGAGAGAAUGUUGGCAUGAGUAGCGCAAGGCGGGUGAGAAUCCCGCCGGCCGAAUGUCUAAGGUUUCCUGAGGAAGGAUCGUCCUCUCAGGGUUAGUCGGGUCCUAAGCCGAGGCUGAAAAGCGUAGGCGAUGGAUAACGGGUUAAGAUUCCCGUACCACCGAGAUUUGUUUGAGAGAUGGAGUGACACAGUAGGAUAGGUCAUCACACCGUUGGUUGUGUGUGUCCAAGCAGUUAGGGAGUUAGAGUAGGCAAAUCCGCUUUAACAAUUCUGAGCUGUGAUGGGGAGCGAAAAAUAAGUAGCGAACUGAUUGAUUCCACACUGUCGAGAAAAGCUUCUAUCGAGAAUUAAGGUGCCCGUACCGAAAACCGACACAGGUGGACAGGUAGAGAAUACUAAGGCUAGCGAGAGAACCAUUGUUAAGGAACUCGGCAAAAUGACCCCGUAACUUCGGGAGAAGGGGUGCCGCAUUAGGGUGUAUGCCCGACGCGGCCGCAGAGAACAGGCCCAAGCGACUGUUUAGCAAAAACACAGGUCUCUGCUAAAUCGAAAGAUGACGUAUAGGGGCUGACGCCUGCCCGGUGCUGGAAGGUUAAGAGGACGUGUUAGCGUAAGCGAAGCUCUGAAUUGAAGCCCCAGUAAACGGCGGCCGUAACUAUAACGGUCCUAAGGUAGCGAAAUUCCUUGUCGGGUAAGUUCCGACCCGCACGAAAGGCGUAACGAUUUGGGCGCUGUCUCAACAAUGGACUCGGUGAAAUUGUAGUACCGGUAAAGAUGCCGGUUACCCGCAGCAGGACGGAAAGACCCCGUGGAGCUUUACUGUAGCUUGGCACUGGACUUUGAUAUAUCAUGUACAGAAUAGGUGGGAGACUUGGAAACGUGGACGCCAGUUUGCGUGGAGUCAUCUUUGGGAUACCACUCUUGUUAUAUCAGUGUUCUAACCGUGCGCCGUGAAUCCGGCGUCGGGACAAUGUCAGGUGGGCAGUUUGACUGGGGCGGUCGCCUCCUAAAAAGUAACGGAGGCGCUCAAAGGUUCCCUCAGAAUGGUUGGAAAUCAUUCAAAGAGUGCAAAGGCAGAAGGGAGCUUGACUGCGAGACAUACAGGUCGAGCAGGUACGAAAGUAGGACUUAGUGAUCCGGUGGUUCCGCAUGGAAGGGCCAUCGCUCAACGGAUAAAAGCUACCCCGGGGAUAACAGGCUUAUCUCCCCCAAGAGUCCACAUCGACGGGGAGGUUUGGCACCUCGAUGUCGGCUCGUCUCAUCCUGGGGCUGUAGUAGGUCCCAAGGGUUGGGCUGUUCGCCCAUUAAAGAGGCACGCGAGCUGGGUUCAGAACGUCGUGAGACAGUUCGGUCCCUAUCCGCUGUGGGCGUAGGAAAUUUGAGAGGAUCUGUCCUUAGUACGAGAGGACCGGGAUGGACGUACCGCUGGUGUAUCUGUUGUUCCGCCAGGAGCACUGCAGAGUAGCUAAGUACGGAAAGGAUAAGCGCUGAAGGCAUCUAAGCACGAAGCCCCCCUCAAGAUAAGAUUUCCCAUCACGUUAAGUGAGUAAGACCCCUCGU